GACAGGGUCUUACUGUGUCACUCAGGCUGGAGUACAGUGGUAUGGUGCAAACAUGGCUCAGUGCAGCCUUGAACCCCUGGGUUCAAGUGAUUCUCCUGCCUCAGCCUCCCCAGUAGCUGGGGCCACAGGUGCACACCAUCAUGCCUAGCUAAUUUGGUGAAUUUUCUUUUGUACUUUCCUUCUUAGGAGAUAGAGGCUCAAAUUGGCUGUAUUGGCAAAUGUCCUCAGGGCAAAAGUGGCUUCAGUACUCAGUAUACCUUAGAUUUUGUCCUGCUAAUUCCUUACUGUCUUAUUAGUACUUUGAUACUUCUAAUCUUAUUUCUAAUAAUUAUUUUAAUAUUUGAUACUCUAUCUUCAAUCUAACAUUCUUAGUUUGUCAGUUUCCAUAGUCAGGUGACUGAGGUGAGCUGUCCUAGGCUGGCUCCUGGACUGGUGUCCACUAAGGCCUCACGGGUGCUCUUUAUGGUCUUCUGUUGGUAUCUUUGCUUAGUAGCUGGGGUAUUUCCUAGGAUGGUCCUUUUUCUCUACUUGGUCAGGACCUCAGACCUCAGACCUCAGAUGACUCAGGCCACCAUAGUUCUCACCAGCAUUAUAGGCCUCUUUGAGUCUCUGCCACAGCUUCUGUUCAACAACUUCCUCUCCACUUUGCUGUGGGGUCACUUCAACCUCCCCAUGACAGAGCUGUUGUCUCUCAGCUGAGCCAGGUUCUGUGUUUUCCAUCAGAGAUGCAGGAACAUCUGAGUGCCUUUCACACCACACAGGAGCUAACAGGCGCCCAAACUGGGCCCUCUUUUCCUGACUACUCUAUUUUGCUCUCUUUCCUCUUCUGGGCCUACCCAAUUGUACUGCUGACUCACCUUAACUAGCGAUUUCCUUCUGGAAUCCCAAAUGGGAAACAGAAGAGAAGCCCCUCAGGCCUUAGCCUUCAAUCAGUCUGAAACACCUUCCUUCCCUGGGAUUUACUCCUGGGAUCAAGAGAACUUUUCAUUACCUAGUUUUCCUAACUCCACUCCCCUUCUUCUCCCUGCCAUCCACUAGAACAGGAAGAGGUUCAGACAUUCUACUUCCUCAAUGUCCUACCCUUGCUCCAUCCUGGGACAGCAAGCUCAGUGGUCUAGUCAUCACAGGUGAAAAAAUAUGUCUCCUUAUACUAUAAAAUAAACUAUGAUCUAGUUUACCAGGUAUAACCUUCGAUAUGUCAGUGGUAGUAAAAGGAAUCUGGAAAAUAUAUUUUCUCACCUUUUUUCUGGCUUUCUAAGUAACUAUUUCAAUGAAAAGUCCUAUUUUGGAUAUCGGAAGCUGGUUUUUUGUUUUUUGUUGGUUGUUGUUUGUUUGUUUGUUUUUUGAGACAGGGUGUUGCUCUGCCACCCAGGCUGCUACAGCUUCGAUCUUCCGGGCUCAAGUGAUCCUCCUGCCUCAGCCUCCCAAGUAGCUGGGACUAUUGGCAUGCACUACCACACCCAGCUUAUUUUUCCAUUUUUUGUAGAGAUGAAGUCUCAUGAUGUUGCUCAGGCUGGUCUCAAACUCCUGAGCUCAAGCAGUCCUCCCGCCUCGGCCUGCUAAAGUGCUGAGAUUACAGGCAUAAGCCACCGUGUCCAGCCAGAAGCUGAUUUUUAACUCUUCCUUUUAAAAUUUUUGCUUUGACAGUUCUAAUCCCACCCUCCACACACUGCCCCCAGGCAAAUGAAUGCUUUUGGUCUACUAAAGAAAAGAUCAUAUACAUGAAAAUGAAAAAGAAAAAAGCACAUUAAUAUGUUUCAUAAAUAUUCAAGUUGUGAAUAUAAACAUAUCUAUUAUUAUUAUUUUAGAGACAGGAUCUGUCUCUGUUACCCAGGUUGGAGUGCAGUGGUGCAAUUAUAGCUCACUACAGCCACAAAGUGGCUGGAUGGCCUUGAAGUGGGAGAAUAGCUUCUUCCCACCUCAGCCUCCCAAGUAGCUAGGACUACAGGCAUGCCACCACGGCUGGCUAGUUUAUUUACUACUUUUUUUUAAGAGACAGGGUCUCACUAUAUUGCCCAGCUGGUCUCAAACUGCCAACCUCAAGCUUUGGCCUCCCAGAAUGUUCGGAUUACAGGUGUAAGCCACCAUGCCUGGCCACCUAUUUUUUUAAAUAAAGAAUAUUUGUAUUAGUUAUCUAUUGCCAUGUAACAAAUUGCCCCAAUGUUUAGUGACUUCCAACAAUGAACAGUUAUUAUUUUACAGUUUCUAAAGGUUAUACAUUUGGUAGGAGCUUAACUGGACGAUACAGUCCAGAGGAAAGCUGGGCUGCAGUCAUCAGAAGGCAUGACUGAGGCCGGAGGAUCAACUUCCAAGCUCACCCACGUGGCUAUUAGCAGGAGGCUUUAGUUUCUUGCUGGCUGUUGGCUGGAGGCCUCAGUUUCUCAACACAUAGGCCUCUCUGCAUGAUGUGGCAGCCGGUUUCCCUCAGAGCAAGUGUUCUGAGGGCAGGAGGAUGGAUGGAGGAAGGGGGAGAGAGAGAGAGAGAAUGAGCGUGCGAGAGAGAGCGCAAGCAUAAGAGAGAACAGGAAGCCACAGUGCCUUGUAUGUCUUAGUCUCUGAAGUCACACAAUGUCACUUUUGCUUUAUUCUAUCCAUUAGAAGUGAGUCACUAAAUCCAGUCCAUACCCAAGGGGAGGGCAAUUAGACUCUUCCUCUUAAAGGGAGUGCCAAAAAAUUUGUGGACAAUUUAAACCACCACAGCAUUCAAAAUUGCCCACUUCCUGUGUGCCAAAGUACAAAACUAGGAUAUAUCAGCAACAAAAUGGGGAUUCCUUGCAUGAUGGAGUCGAAAGUCUAGUGGGUACAUGAACAUGAAAAUAAUCCAUUGCAGUACACUAAGAUAGAGCUCCUAGUUUUCUCUCAUGUGACAUGGGGGACAGUAGGUGCUUGAGGGCACAGGAGUCAAUACAAAAAUGCUUUUGCAUAAGUGUAAUUUAGCAAAGGGGAUCAAGACCUGAGAUGUAAGAGCCAGAAUCCCAGCUCUGCCACUUACUGGCAAUGUGACCAUGGGCCAGUAACUCUUCCUCUCUGUACUUCAGUUUCCUCAUCAGUAAGAUGGGAGAAUAACAGUAUUUAUCUGAUAGGGUCUUUGUGAGAAUUAAAUGAGUUAGCAUAUGUAAAAGGCUAAACAUGUGUCUGGAUCAUAGCAGGUGUUAGUUAUUAAUUGUAAACUGCAAGCCACUUCAGAAAUGGCAGUAUUAUUAUUCUAAUUUUGAAACUAGGUACAUGUCCUUUUCCCUGUCUUAUUGAAAAUGGAAUUAACUUUCUUCCUAAUUUAAUUAUUUUUCAUUUCCAGUAAGUUUCCCGAUGUAAUUUAAUUUUUAAUGAUACAUUUGUACUUUUUUCUUUUUAAGCAUGUAACAUAUGUCAUAAAAUGUAAAUGUCACUCUUUACCUCCACCCCCACCUGCUCAUCAAUUCCACUUCCUUCCCCAGAGGAAACCACUUUAGCAGUUUCAUGAAUGUUUUUUUAGAAAUGUUUCUGCCUAUUUAAAAGCUAUGCAUUUUUGAAAUAUUUUAACAUAAAUGGAAUCAAACUAUGCAUAUCAUUCUACUUGAUUUUUUCUGUAAUUAACAGAUCUUUUCAUCUUAGUGAUUAUAGCUUUACAUCAUUCCUUUUAAUUUAAUUUAAUAUUAAAUUCUAUAGGAUGGCUAUACCAUAGAUGCUUUAACCAUUCUUCUGUCGGUGGACAUUCCGGUUGUUUCUAACAUUUUAUUAUAAACAACUGUGUAGUGAACAUAAGCAUUUAAAUAUAUUUCCUAACCUUCAAAGACUUUGUGAAUAUAUUUUCAAUUAAGACUUGUUACAAGGGCCAUGUGCAGUGGCUCACGCCUGAAAUCCCAGCACUUCUAGAGGCCAAGACAGGUUUGCUUGAGCCCAGGAGUUUGAGACCGGCCUGGGCAACAUAGGGAGACCCCUGUCU
rnacentral:lncRNA from 10 species